rnacentral:rRNA from 1 species
UACAGGGGGGGCAAGCGUUGUUCGGAAUUACUGGGCGUAAAGGGCUCGUAGGCGGCCAACUAAGUCCGACGUGAAAUCCCUCAGCUUAACUGGGGAACUGCGUCUGAGACUGGCGAGCUUGAGGGCAGGAGAGGAACGCGGAAUUCCAGGUGUAGCGGUGAAAUGCGUAGAUAUCUGGAGGAACACCGGUGGCGAAGGCGGCGUUCUGGACUGCAUCUGACACUGAGAGACGAAAGCCAGGGGAGCAAACGGG